UAUUCUGCCCCAUGGGGAAGGAUGAGAAGCUUCGACUAAGGUUCGACUCGAGCGAAGCGAGAGAACGUUGCCGC
rnacentral:sRNA from 1 species